ensembl:lncRNA
CCAUUGGUUUAUAUUUAUUGUCCUGUAUAUAAUAACUGGUAAACUACAACUAAGUGACUUUUAUACAAUUCAAAGGUUUAGCAUUGUACUCUUAAUAACGAAACAUGUUUAGAUUAUUGAAGGUAACACAGAAUGAGUGACAGGAGGCUUGACAAAUGGGAAGGAAGACAGGGUCUCUGGUUGCAUCAUCACCAGCAGCUGUCCCAGCUAGCACAUUUGGUUCCUUGGAAGCUGUGGGAACGUACAUUUUAAGUAGUUAAGAUUCCUGACGGUUAAAACAAAAACGUUUUGUAUUACUUUCUGAGAAUAGAAGUGAAAACUUAGCCUGUUCUGGGCACGUUAAUAUUUAGGUUGCAGGGUUCCCCUGAAAGCCAGCCUGGGAGUUUUUUUAUUAACAUUCUGAGAAUGGAAAUUCAAGGAUAUUUUGAAGGUAAUUAAAUAACGUUCUGAGAACAUGUUUCAGUAAGACUUUUAAUAACGCUGCUAGUUUAGUUUGGGUUAACUGUUAUGAACUCCCAGCACAGAUAGGACACAUGGACAGUUAUUUUUCUGGGCAUUAAAUCAUGCAAACACAUUCCUUUUUUAUUGUGGCAUGUGAGAUUCAAACCUAUGAUCUUCUGUUCUCUAUCCAUGGAAUUAGUCCACAGCUCCACCAAGAUGGAGCUAGCAUGCCAUGUUAAAAAGAAAAACUCAAACAAACCUGUUCAUUUUAGUCUUUACAAACAGACCCUAGUUAUUUCUCAACGUUCUGUGAACGUGACUUUAAAUAGAACCGUGAAGAAACCUGUAGAAAACAUUUUUGCUGAAGUACUGAAAUUCCCACAGAAGAAUGUUAUAAAACUGUAGUAAAAAUGUAAUGGGACAGUUGUAUACUAAAUAAACAUAGUACGUUCAAGCUCUAACCAAGCUCUAAGAAACAUAUGGUUUUCAGAACGUUAUGUGCUAGCUGGGGACCUAUCAGCACGGAGACAGGGAACAUGAUUGACAUCAAGUGGGACUACCUGUGUCUGGGUGCAAGCGUUUUGCUAGCUGGGGCAUUUGCCACAUACAGAGUUUAGGUGACCCACUGGCUUGUAAAACAAGCAGACCCUCUGUCUUUGACCUCAUGUCAGGUCAGAGCCGGUUACCAGGACACCUCUGGUUAAAAGCAGGGUGUAGGGGAUAGAUUAGCCUUAUACAGCAGGGGCAAUGUGAUUGGUAACACCGACCACAAACUCGCCCAAUCAAAACACCUUUGUCUGCAGAGAGCCAAUCCAGGACUGGUUUAUGAGUUCGACAGUAGGAGUUGGUAGAAGUGGAGCUUUGGAGCCCUGCAGAAUAACAGCCCCUCUAAGACUGUAACUAGGCAUCCCCUGCACCAGGAGACAGACAGACAGGUAACAGCCCCUCUAAGACUGUAACUAGGCAUCCCCUGCACCAGGAGACAGACAGACAGGUAACAGUCCCCCUAAGACUGUAACUAGGCAUCCCCUGCACCAGGAGACAGACAGUCAGGUAACAGCCCCUCUAAGACUGUAACUAGGCAUCCCCUGCACCAGGAGACAGACAGACAGGUAACAGCCCCUCUAAGACUGUAACUAGGCAUCCCCUGCACCAGGAGACAGACAGUCAGGUAACAGCCCCUCUAAGACUGUAACUAGGCAUCCCCUGCACCAGGAGACAGACAGACAGGUAACAGCCCCUCUAAGACUGUAACUAGGCAUCCCCUGCACCAGGAGACAGACAGACAGGUAACAGUCCCUCUAAGUAACCCUGUGUAAGAGCAUUAUACAUCAAGGGAUUGAAAACCCGGUCCCCAUAGCAACAAGCUAUUAAAGGAAGCAGAAGUUUUCAUGACAAAAAAAAGGAUUUGGGUUAAAACAAUUGACGUUCUGUUUGUUCAUAGAUGAAAACGUGUUCAUAUGCAGCAAUUCUAUCUCCCAUUAAAUAUUAAGAUCUCAACAACACGGUUCUUCAAAGUGUUUUUAAAAACAUUCGAUGAGACAAAAAAACAAAUAAAUAAUCAAAUAAAUAAACAAAUAAAUAACAUAAGAAAUAGAUAAAUAAUUGGAAUAAAUAACUGAACAAAUAGCUGUGGAUAAAAGAUAGACCCACAUGAUCGCAUGGAUGCUUUUGCAGAAAAUAUCUUUAGAAAGAGCAUCUUUCCAGAGCGACUUCACAUCACUGGUCAUUGAGCAAGAGGUCUGGACAUAAUAAAUAGUGGAAUAAGGAAGAGAGGAAAAAGUACAUGAUAAUCAAACAUCUGUCCCUUGUUUUUUUUUUGCCUCAGUGUGUGAUUACAGGUCAGGAAUGUCAGGGCCAUGUUCGGUAACAAAAUGUUCUCGAUCGUUUCAGAUAUAAAUACCACAAAUAGGGCCGACGUGAUUCCUUAUUCUACAUCUCAGAGAUCCAUGUUUGUUCUACAUAGCAUACUUCUAUCUGAAUGUGCCCCAAGUCAGAAUAGGGGCAGGGACAGAUGCACCCUGGGACCUGUAGUCCUAUAAUGGCAGGGGGAGGGACAGAUGCACCCUGGGACCUGUAGUCCUGUAGUGGCAGGGGCAGGGACAGAUGCACCCUGGGACCUGUAGCCAUGUAGUGGCAGGGGCAGGGACAGAUGCACCCUGGGACCUGUAGUCCUGUAAUGGCAGGGGCAGGGACAGAUGCACCCUGGGACCUGUAGUCCUGUAGUGGCAGGGGCAGGGACAGAUGCACCCUGGGACCUGUAGUCCUGUAAUAGCAGGUGCAGGGACUGAUGCACCCUGGGACCUGUAGUCCUGUGGUGGCAGGGGCAGGGACAGAUGCACCCUGGGACCUGUAGUCCUGUAGUGGCAGGGGCAGGGACAGAUGCACCCUGGGACCUGUAGUCCUGUAGUCGCAGGCAGCUCUCUGGUACAAGCAGCAGUCUUCCUCCUUUCUGUUGCAUCAUCAUGCGAAGUCACCAUCAAAUAACAAGCCUCUUCCAAAAAAAAUCACAUAGAAUAUACAGUGCAUAGUUUACAAGCCAGAACUUACAGUUUAGAAUCAUCUAUACAUCCUGAUAUAUCAGUUCCCUUCUGCAUGCUAAAUCAUCAGCCAUCUUUUCUUUUGUUCUUUAUCGCAUCUGUUUUGAUCUCUCUGGUUCCUAAGCAUAAGUGUCUUUGGGGAAAUUACGUCAUGACAUUGGAGGAAGAAUUUCCCAGUGCUGUUUGAUUUGAUUUGAUUUCUUUCACUUGUAUCUCUUCUUUUCAUCUUCUUUGACAAACUCCGUGGAAGUGUCCCAAUGCUGGAACAUUUUUUUUUUUUUUGGGGGGUUUACUUUUGCUAUGCAGAAACAUAUAGAGAAAGUGCUUACAGAAUAGUUCUUUAUCAAUUAUUUUCUAAAAGCAUGAUCUGAAAAAUGUUAUUUUAAAUUGUGCCUGUGUGAAGACAAAUGGAUAUUUCAGAUCCAGGCUCUGGUUAACGCUGGUAUUCAGAGAUGGAGACUGAGGAUGGUAGAAAAAACAGAGAAGGUCUGACCCUGUGUUUGGACCAAUCAGGGACGCAUAACAUGAUUUAUCUCCCUCCCCCUCUCUCUCCCUCAAUCUCUCCUGCUGUUCUCCCCCAUCUAUCUCUCUCUCUCUCCCCCCCCAACUCCCCCUCUCUCUGUCUCUCUCUCAUCAGAAGCCGGGGCUUUCAUAGCUGCUGCGACUGUAGUUGCUGUGGCUCCUGGGGCUGCGUGAGCGGCUGUGGCUCCUGGGGCUGCGUGAGCGGCUGUGGCUCCUGGUGUGGCUGUGACUGCAGCUGUAGCUGCGGCUGCGACUCCUCCCUGAAUGGGAGGGGCUUGACAUGGAACUGGAGGAGGAAGGGCUGGGGCGGUAGUACGGGAUAGGCCGCUUCCGAGCGCUGAGGAGAGGAGAGGGUAGGAGAUUAGACAGUACAUAAAGCUCUUGUAGGAGUUAGUUAGUGUGAGGAGGACCAGCACAUUGACAGCUGACCAGAGAGCGUGUUUUCUUGUCUCGGUUACAGUAUGGUCCAGUAGGAAUGCUUUACGUUUUGCAACAUAAUCCAUUUUUGAAAUACUCUCAGAAUUUAAAUAUCAAAUGUAUUUAAAAAAAUAUAUGUAUAAAUAA